rnacentral:lncRNA from 1 species
UGUGAAUGUAGGCAGCCUAAUAUAGGAGGUAGAGACUCUAUGCCUUCCUUGAUGGAAAAAUUGCAGCACGACUUUGUUCUCUUUUGUAUUAGUUAAUCAUCAAUGUAGAGAACUCUCAUCACAACAUAUAAACUGAUUCAAAGUACCAGUGCUUCGUCAUGGCUGCCUCCUCUUCACCAGACAAUAAUACAAAAGCUCCAUGUCCCUGCUACCUGUUAACAAACAGAGGCUCAGGGAUAAAAGUGAUGGCGGGCUCCAGAGCCCCUUAUACAGCAGGCUGUUGGCAUCGCGUGCAUUUUUGGCAACAGGCAAAGCACGGGAGCCAUUGCAAACCUGGGCUAGAGCUGAAGACUGCUAAAUCCCACUCUUCUGUUCUGGUUACCAUCUCACACUGAUCGAGAGUGAACACAGCACUGCCAAAGAAGGAUGGAAACAUCACCUGAGUGUGGUAAGAAGCCAGAAAUAUCUGGCCAUCCUGCCUGCUGUGCCUCAUCGGCCUGGCACCGCAGCCCUAUCUCUGUGCGUUGGGUUUUUGCGACCAUCACAGCAGCACUUCAGACAGCAGAAGGCUUCUGGAGCCAUUCCUUGGUGACAGCAGUGCUGCUCCCAGCCCGUGCAACGUGCUUCAUCACAACAUGCUUAAUAUGAUCUGCGAGAUUUGGAAAUCACAACGCUUCUUCUCGCUUUCUGAGUUCACCAGGCCAAAAACGAAAUCUUCUGUAUUAUCCAGUCAUCUCCUUGUUUUCUCACUCUUUAUUCUUUGGAAACCAAUAUUUUCUUUUACCUUUACCAGCACAAAAUAAGCAUGCCUCACUGGGCAAAAACUGAAAAGCUUAUGCUAGUGAGGUUUUUUUGGAA